AAAUUGAAGAGUUUGAUCAUGGCUCAGAUUGAACGCUGGCGGCAGGCCUAACACAUGCAAGUCGAGCGGUAGCACAGAGAGCUUGCUCUCGGGUGACGAGCGGCGGACGGGUGAGUAAUGUCUGGGAAACUGCCUGAUGGAGGGGGAUAACUACUGGAAACGGUAGCUAAUACCGCAUAACGUCGCAAGACCAAAGUGGGGGACCUUCGGGCCUCAUGCCAUCAGAUGUGCCCAGAUGGGAUUAGCUAGUAGGUGGGGUAAUGGCUCACCUAGGCGACGAUCCCUAGCUGGUCUGAGAGGAUGACCAGCCACACUGGAACUGAGACACGGUCCAGACUCCUACGGGAGGCAGCAGUGGGGAAUAUUGCACAAUGGGCGCAAGCCUGAUGCAGCCAUGCCGCGUGUAUGAAGAAGGCCUUCGGGUUGUAAAG
rnacentral:rRNA from 1 species